GCAUAUCAAUAAGCGGGAGGGAAAAAGAAACCCCCUCCCCGGAUUGCCCUAGUAACGGCGAGUGAAGCGGCAACAGCUCAAAUUUGAAAUCUGGCCCUCGGGUCCGAGGUGUAAUUUGUAGAGGAUGCUUUUGGUGCGGUGCCUUCCGAGUUCCCUGGAACGGGACGCCAUAGAGGGUGAGAGCCCCGUCUGGUUGGAUACCAAUCCUCUGUAAAGCUCCUUCGACGAGUCGAGUAGUUUGGGAAUGCUGCUCUAAAUGGGAGGUAUAUGUCUUCUAAAGCUAAAUAUUGGCCAGAGACCGAUAGCGCACAAGUAGAGUGAUCGAAAAGAUGAAAAGCACUUUGAAAAGAGAGUUAAACAGUACGUGAAAUUGUUGAAAGGGAAGCGCUUGUGACCAGACUUGGGCUUGGUUAAUCAUCCAGCGUUCUCGCUGGUGCACUUUUCCAGCUCAGGCCAGCAUCAGUUCGUCGCGGGGGAUAAAGGCUUCGGGAAUGUGGCUCCUCCGGGAGUGUUAUAGCCCGUUGCGUAAUACCCUGCGGUGGACUGAGGUUCGCGCUCCGCAAGGAUGCUGGCGUAAUGGUCAUCAGCGACCCGUCUUGAAACACGGACCAAGGAGUCGUCUUCGUAUGCGAGUGUUCGGGUGUUAAACCCCUACGCGUAAUGAAAGUGAACGCAGGUGAGAGCUUCGGCGCAUCAUCGACCGAUCCUGAUGUUCUCGGACGGAUUUGAGUAAGAGCAUACGGGGCCGGACCCGAAAGAAGGUGAACUAUGCCUGUAUAGGGUGAAGCCAGAGGAAACUCUGGUGGAGGCUCGCAGCGGUUCUGACGUGCAAAUCGAUCGUCAAAUAUGGGCAUGGGGGGCGAAAGACUAAUCGAACCUUCUAGUAGCUGGUUUCCGCCGAA
rnacentral:rRNA from 1 species